GAUGAACGCUAGCUACAGGCUUAACACAUGCAAGUCGAGGGGCAGCAUGGUCUUAGCUUGCUAAGGCCGAUGGCGACCGGCGCACGGGUGAGUAACACGUAUCCAACCUGCCGUCUACUCUUGGACAGCCUUCUGAAAGGAAGAUUAAUACAAGAUGGCAUCAUGAGUCCGCAUGUUCACAUGAUUAAAGGUAUUCCGGUAGACGAUGGGGAUGCGUUCCAUUAGAUAGUAGGCGGGGUAACGGCCCACCUAGUCUUCGAUGGAUAGGGGUUCUGAGAGGAAGGUCCCCCACAUUGGAACUGAGACACGGUCCAAACUCCUACGGGAGGCAGCAGUGAGGAAUAUUGGUCAAUGGGCGAGAGCCUGAACCAGCCAAGUAGCGUGAAGGAUGACUGCCCUAUGGGUUGUAAACUUCUUUUCUUAGGGACGAAGCAAGUGACGGUACCUAAGGAAUAAGCCACGGCU
rnacentral:rRNA from 1 species